rnacentral:sRNA from 1 species
UUAUUAACUCUUUUUUCAAACAUCCAUAGUUGAUCUUUCAGCUUCAUCACCCUUGAAGAUAAUCCCUUUAUGACUCUGCUUUGCCAUUUAAAUUUUUUCUCAUCUCAUACCAGUCAUCUUCUGUACGAUCUUCAGUCUGAGCUAGCCUUUCUGUUGCUCUCCUCUUGUGGUCAAAAGUUCUCUUCAGCUUGCUAAGUUGAGAAGUAUAGUUAACUCUUGGUGGGGUUCCAGCUUCUACUUCUUCAUCAACAUCCAUGUUCUGAAUUCCAAAAUUCUGAACUCCUGUUGUUGAUUUCCCUGAAGCUUCU